UACGUAGGGUGCGAGCGUUAAUCGGAAUUACUGGGCGUAAAGCGUGCGCAGGCGGUUCGUUGUGUCGGCGGUGAAAGCCCCGGGCUUAACCUGGGAAUGGCCGUCGAAACUGGCGAACUGGAGUGUGGCAGAGGGGGGUGGAAUUCCGCGUGUAGCAGCGAAAUGCGUAGAGAUGCGGAGGAACACCGAUGGCGAAGGCAGCCCCCUGGGCUGACACUGACGCUCAGGCACGAAAGCGUGGGGAGCAAACAGG
rnacentral:rRNA from 1 species